GGGACGGUAGCAUAACGGUUAAUGCUGAUAGCCCACCUUUUGGAAUCUUUCUUCGGAAAGAAAUUAUCGAUCUCAGUUCGAAUCUGAGCCGUUCCC